AUUGAACGCUGGCGGCAUGCCUUACACAUGCAAGUCGAACGGUAACGCGGGGGCAACCCUGGCGACGAGUGGCGAACGGGUGAGUAAUACAUCGGAACGUACCCAGUAGUGGGGGAUAGCUCGGCGAAAGCCGGAUUAAUACCGCAUACGACCUAUGGGUGAAAGCGGGGGAUCGCAAGACCUCGCGCUAUUGGAGCGGCCGAUGUCGGAUUAGCUAGUUGGUGAGGUAAAGGCNCACCAAGGCUACGAUCCGUAGCUGGUCUGAGAGGACGACCAGCCACACUGGGACUGAGACACGGCCCAGACUCCUACGGGAGGCAGCAGUGGGGAAUUUUGGACAAUGGGCGCAAGCCUGAUCCAGCCAUGCCGCGUGUGUGAAGAAGGCCU
rnacentral:rRNA from 1 species